GUGAGGAAUCUUCCACAAUGGGCGAAAGCCUGAUGGAGCAACGCCGCGUGAAGGAUGAAGGUCUUCGGAUUGUAAACUUCUUUUAUGAGUGAAGAAUAUGACGGUAACUCAUGAAUAAGCACCGGCUAACUACGUGCCAGCAGCCGCGGUCAUACGUAGGGUGCAAGCAUUAUCCGGAGUGACUGGGCGUAAAGAGUUGCGUAGGCGGUUAUGUAAGCGAAUAGUGAAACCUGGUGGCUCAACCACACAGACUAUUAUUCGAACUGCAUAACUCGAGAAUGGUAGAGGUAACUGGAAUUUCUUGUGUAGGAGUGAAAUCCGUAGAUAUAAGAAGGAACACCAAUGGCGUAGGCAGGUUACUGGGCCAUUUCUGACGCUAAGGCACGAAAGCGUGGGGAGCGAACGGGAUUAGAUACCCGAGUAGUCC
rnacentral:rRNA from 1 species